UUUUCCUCUAAAAGAGAAGAAAAAUAUCUGAAAACAUCUCUUUAAAGAAAAAGCAAUGGUGUCAGGAAUAAAGAGAGAAUUGAUGGGUCCAGUUCCUCUAAACAAGGCCUUGCCUUAUUCCCUGUGGUAUAGAAUUCUCCAACAAUGUCUGCUGCUGAAAAGCAAUCUUCAAAUAAGCCAUUUCACCAUUUGGGCCCACUCUUGCAUCUUAGAGACAGCAAAGGGACUUUCUAUCAUCUAGUAAAUGUUCCAAAAGAACAACGCAUAAAAGUCAUGUUUCCCUGGGUGCACUUUUAUGGUUUUCCCUGAAUUCUGACAAGCCCCAAAUAUAUGUCUGUGAAAAUAACCAGCCACACAAUACUAAGGGGUAGGCGUAGUUUUUGAGGAGUCACAAGAUCACUCGCAGCACCCCAGCAUCUACUACUGAUCCUAUUCCUACAAACAAGGUCAAAGGAUUCCCCAAAA